GACGUAGGGCGCGAGCGUUGUCCGGAUUUAUUGGGCGUAAAGAGCUCGUAGGCGGCUUGUUGCGUCGACCGUGAAAACUUGGGGCUUAACCUUAAGCUUGCGGUUGAUACGGGCAGGCUAGAGUUCGGUAGGGGAGACUGGAAUUCCUGGUGUAGCGGUGAAAUGCGCAGAUAUCAGGAGGAACACCGGUGGCGAAGGCGGGUCUCUGGACAGUUCCUGACGCUGAGGCACGAAGGUCAGGGGAGCAAACGGG
rnacentral:rRNA from 1 species